GGCUCUUUGGGUUAAAAAUAUAGAGAGUCGAGCCUGCCCAAUGACGUAAUGUUGAAUGGCCGCGGUACUCUGACCGUGCGAAGGUAGCAUAAUCAUUUGUCUUUUAAUUGAGGACUAGAAUGAAUGGUUUGACGAAAACAAAACUGUCUUUUUCUUAUUAAGUAGAAAUUAAUUUUUAAGUGAAGAAUCUUUAAUUUUUAUAAAAGACAAGAAGACCCUAUUGAGCUUUAUUAUACAAAACUAUUUUAAUUUUAUAGUAUUAAAAGGUUUAAAGAAGUUAAUUAUAAUUUGGUUGGGGCGACUUAGGAAUAUAGAAAACUUCCUUUAUACUAAUUUAAAAAAUUAUAUAAUGAUCCGGUAUUUAUCGAUUAAAAGAAAUAGCUACCAUAGGGAUAACAGCGUAAUUUUCUUUGAGAGUUCCUAUCGAAAAGAAAGUUUGCGACCUCGAUGUUGGAUUGAAGUAUCUAGAGGGUGUAGCAGCUCUUUGGGUUGGUCUGUUCGACCAUUAAAACUUUACA
rnacentral:rRNA from 1 species